AUGCAAGUCGAGCGAACCGAUUAAGAGCUUGCUCUUAAGAAGUUAGCGGCGGACGGGUGAGUAACACGUAGGUAACCUGCCUAUAAGACUGGGAUAACUCCGGGAAACCGGGGCUAAUACCGGAUAACAUUUUGCACCGCAUGGUGCGAAAUUGAAAGGCGGCUUCGGCUGUCACUUAUAGAUGGACCYGCGGCGCAUUAGCUAGUUGGUGAGGUAACGGCUCACCAAGGCGACGAUGCGUAGCCGACCUGAGAGGGUGAUCGGCCACACUGGGACUGAGACACGGCCCAGACUCCUACGGGAGGCAGCAGUAGGGAAUCUUCCGCAAUGGACGAAAGUCUGACGGAGCAACGCCGCGUGAGCGAUGAAGGCCUUCGGGUCGUAAAGCUCUGUUGUUAGGGAAGAACAAGUGCUAGUUGAAUAAGCUGGCACCUUGACGGUACCUAACCAGAAAGCCACGGCUAACUACGUGCCAGCAGCC
rnacentral:rRNA from 2 species